GGUAAGAUGGCCGAGAAAUAGGCAGCGGAUUGUAGCUUCGCCCACGGGCAAAAACGCCCUUUUAUC
rnacentral:tRNA from 1 species